rnacentral:rRNA from 1 species
GACAUGGGAAGCUUGCUUCCUAUGAAAUCGAGUGGCAAACGGGUGAGUAACGCGUAAACAACCUGCCCUUCGGAUGGGGAUAACAGCCGGAAACGGCUGCUAAUACCGAAUACGAUCUUUUCGUCGCAUGACGGAAAGAAGAAAGGAUGGCCUCUAUACAAAGCUAUCGCCGAAGGAGGGGUUUGCGUCUGAUUAGCUGGUUGGAGGGGUAACGGCCCAACAAGGCGAUGAUCAGUAGCCGGUCUGAGAGGAUGAACGGCCACAUUGGGACUGAGACACGGCCCAGACUCCUACGGGAGGCAGCAGUGGGGAAUCUUCCGCAAUGGACGAAAGUCUGACGGAGCAACGCCGCGUGAGUGAAGAAGGUCUUCGGAUUGUAAAGCUCUGUUAUACGGGACGAAAAGACGGAUGCCAACAGUAUCCGUCCGUGACGGUACC